CUUGUGAAAAUGUUGUCCUGUUCCUUUAUCGGUGUGUAACAGUAUGUGUAUGAGAGCGAUGUAAUGUCCAUGUGUGCAUGCUGAAAGAGACUGUGCUGGUCUGACCCCCCUCCUCCUUUCAGGGUGGAGCCUGCUGGAGUCCAAUGGUUGAAACCAGGUUUGAGGAAGUAUUCCUGUCAACUCACAGUCGACACAAACACAGUACACAGAUGGCUCCAACUGUCUGACAACGACAUGAAGGUGACACGCGUGUGGGAGACUUUUUCAUAUUCUGAUCAUCCAGACAGAUUUGAUUGGCAUCCACAGCUGCUGUGUAGAAAUGGUCUGACUGGUCGCUGUUACUGGGAGGUCAAGUGGAAAGGAAAA